AAAUCUUUUUCAUUUAACGUGAUAUAAUCUCAUUUCAAGAUUUCCAUUUUGAAACUGGAGAUAUUAUCAAAACAAGAAUAUUCUUUUUUUCUGUGUAGUAUUUCUCAAAAUAGUAUUGAUCCUAUUUUAUUAUAACAGAUAGAUCAUUAUUCCUUACAUCUACAUACAUACUCUCCAAAUUUUAUAGAGUGAAAAAUACUGUCACUAUAAUUUUACAAUUUUACUUAUUACUUACUUUUUGCUCUAUAAAAUUUGGAGAGAAGAUUUACAUACUUGUACGUAUGUGUGUGUGUGUGCGUGCGUGCGUGCGUAAUAUAUAAAAAUUUUGUAAAUAAUUUUUUACAUUAUUUUAUUAAUUUUGUUUUUAGAACGUCGAAUACACGGAAAAUCUCGUGCACGGUGGUAUCGCCAACGGGCGGAUUUGACCCGCUAUAAUUGGAGAGGAGGCAUAAAAAGAGGGGUAAUUCGAUGUGCUGAAUACAGGAAAAAUAGUGAAAAAAAGAGAUCCGGCCCGCGUAGUAAGAGAGGGGGAAAUUGCGAAGCGCUCGCGUCCCACCGCGUCAGCCACACAUUCCGUCGUCGUCCGCAUCGGCGUCUGCUGCACUCGACGCGAGAGUUCCUUUGUUGGAAUAUAUAUUGAAUAUACAGUUUUUUUAUACGAAUCGCAUCGUUUCUGACCUUCUAUCCGCCCUUUUCCUGACAAUAUAUAUAUACAUAUUUGGCGGAUUUUCACCUCAGGUGUGGUGAUUAUAUCUUGGACGGUUCUUUUCAGGAUAGUCCAAGCGCGUUCUCAUUUGGUGGUGGUUGGACGCAUCUAGGAUUUUUUAAACUAUUUUUUUCGUAUUUAGCGCAAAAAAUUACGUUGAAAAACACCCAAAAAUCAUUGCAUCAAUUUUUUUGCAUUGACCUUUCCCUUGCGGACGGGACUGGUC